GUGCUCACUUCGGCAGCACAUAUACUAAAAUUGAAACGAUACAGAGAAGAUUAGCAUGGCCCCUGCACAAGGAUGACAUGCAAAUUUGUAAAACAUUAAAAGAGAUA
rnacentral:snRNA from 1 species